UGAGAAAAAGAGUAGACCAGUCAGUGUAAAACAAGAGUGGCGCAUUGUGGAGCUCUUACUAUAAAAGUCGGUCGCUCGAUGCGUAGCUCCAUCAGUUGCUACUGUGAACAUCUGCUGCUUCCUUCUACCAUGAUCCGUACCUGCAUCCUCCUGGCCCUGGCCACCUGUGCGUUUGCCGUCUACUCCGGCUAUCCCUACGGCUACUCUGGCACAGUUCCUGCCAGCUACGGAGCUUACAGCUCCCCACUUGGUUCUCUGUCUUCAUACGGCUACGGAGUUGGUGCCCCAGGUGCCCCAGCUUAUGGCUACGGACUUGGAAGCUAUGGCCUGAGCUAUGGACAAGGUCUCGGUGGUCUCGGUUAUUCUACCCUAGUGCACAAGUAAUAAGUCAUCCACGAAAUCCCAACAAAUGUUAUCCCAAGACAUGGCGGACUCAACAUUAUGAAAUAAAACUUGUUUUAAAUCAGUGCGAAAAUGUGCUAUUUAAUUAUUUUAUACAGCA